rnacentral:rRNA from 1 species
AGGCCUGUCACUUCCCGAUUGGUCCGCGGCCUAUCAGCUAGUUGGCGGGGUAAAAGCCCACCAAGGCAACGACGGGUAGCUGGUCUGAGAGGACGACCAGCCACACUGGAACUGAGACACGGUCCAGACACCUACGGGUGGCAGCAGUCGAGAAUCUUUCACAAUGGGGGAAACCCUGAUGGAGCGACGCCGCGUGGAGGAUAAGGUCUUCGGAUUGUAGACUCCUGUCAUGCGUGAACAAGGUAGCUAGGCUAAUAUCCUAUGCUAAUUGAUGGUAACGCAAGAGGAAGAGACGGCUAACUCUGUGCCAGCAGCCGCGGUAAUACAGAGGUCUCAAGCGUUGUUCGGAAUCACUGGGCGUAAAGGGUGCGUAGGUGGCGUGGUAAGUCAGAUGUGAAAGCCUGGGGCUCAACCUCAGAAUUGCAUCCGAUACUACCAUGCUUGAGUAUUGGAGAGGUGACU